AGAAUCAACGCUGGCGGCGUGCCUAACACAUGCAAGUCGAACGAGAAAGUGGAGCAAUCCAUGAGUAAAGUGGCGCACGGGUGAGUAACACGUGACUAACCUACCUUUUAGUGGGGGAUAACCUAGGGAAACCUGGGCUAAUACCGCAUAAUACCUACGGGUCAAAGCAGCAAUGCGCUGAUAGAGGGGGUCGCGGCCGAUUAGCUAGUUGGCGGGGUAAUGGCCCACCAAGGCAGUGAUCGGUAUCCGGCCUGAGAGGGCGCACGGACACACUGGAACUGAAACACGGUCCAGACUCCUACGGGAGGCAGCAGUGGGGAAUUUUGCGCAAUGGGGGAAACCCUGACGCAGCAACGCCGCGUGGAGGAUGAAGUCCCUUGGGACGUAAACUCCUUUCGAUCGGGACGAUAAUGACGGUACCGGAAGAAGAGCCCCGGCUAACUUCGUGCCAGCAGCCGC
rnacentral:rRNA from 1 species